rnacentral:rRNA from 1 species
UACGGAGGAUGCGAGCGUUAUCCGGAUUUAUUGGGUUUAAAGGGUGCGUAGGCGGUCGGAUAAGUUAGAGGUGAAAUCCCGAGGCUCAACUUCGGAAUUGCCUCUGAUACUGUUCAGCUAGAGAGUAGUUGCGGUAGGCGGAAUGCGUGGUGUAGCGGUGAAAUGCAUAGAUAUCACGCAGAACCCCGAUUGCGAAGGCAGCAUGCCGGCUUCCGACUGACGCUGAAGCACGAAAGCGUGGGGAUCGAACAGG